rnacentral:lncRNA from 1 species
GAAAAUUUUAAAUGAUCUGUUAAUAUUCAGUACUUUAACUUGAUGUCCUGAACUUCCACCUGUCCACAUUUGGACAAGUCUAUUUCUAUGAGAAAAUGCAUCUUACUGACUGUUGACAAAUAAGAGAAACGAACUUAUUGUGUAAUUGGUUUUAAACACGGGUUUCGUUCCACAAAAAUAUUUGUCCAAACGACAUGUCAAGGUCAUUAAUAAUUGAUUUAUCUAUUUUUAGAAACGUAAACUGGAAGUUUCAUUUUUUCACAACAGAAAGUGUUAUCAAUUCUGUUAGUGAUUAAUGCAUUUCAUUUUAUAAAAAAAGGCUAAUUUAUUUAUUUUUCAGGGAUAAUGCAUUUGUUAGGGUCGGCGGGAAUGAAAAAGCAUGAAAAGUCAAUUUUAUUUUUAUUCUGGAAAUAGGCAAAAUCAGGUCGGCAGAUCCGUAAACCAACAAAUUAAAAGAUCCUGGCCUAAAGUACGACUCCAAUUUAAGGUCCACUGAAUAGUAAUUGAUAGUGCUAGUGGGGCAUCCAUGUACUAUGGACACACUCUUGUUUGUAUUUAUAUUGUUUUGAACAUUCUGUAUGUCAUUACAUUUUAUGCUUGGCCAGCUAUCUCUUGCAUAUGUCUAAUUUGACACCAUCCAGUUUUAUAGUACUGUAACUAUAUCAUAUUUUAUUACUGUAAAAUUUUGUAAUUUCAAAUGACUGCAAACAGUUUUGAUGGUGUGAUUGUGUGAUGUGAAUUAGAGUAUAUUUAAUGGAUGUGUACAUAAGAUGAUUAUGAACAAAUCUUUAUACACACUUUAAUUAUAUAUAUGUGCUUUCAGUAAUUUAUAUUGUUUCCUCAAGUUGUGUUUUGUUCCUGUUUUUGGCAGUAAAAUGUACUUGCAACCCUACAGUAUACCAAUAAUGGGUGCUUAUGUUCUCUGACAUUCAACACUGAUGAUGUAUGGUCAUCAUAAUAUGAAUGACACUAGUACAAUUUAGAUUUCUUAUUAUUGCAUUAAAAUUUUGUGACUUGAAAUUAAUUUUAUAUUGGCAUUAUGUUGACUUUUAAAAAAAAUGUUCAACAUUUUUUAACUAAUGUAAAAAAAAAAGCUAUUUUUUUAAUGAAGAAAUAAUUGUUUAUAUAAGAGGGGCAUAAAGGGACAGUAUCUGCAAAGAAGAACAGGAAAUAAAAUUGCCAUUUCACAAUGAAUAAACAAUUAAAAAUUUCUUGGAAGUUGAUAUUUUCACAGAUUUCACAAAACACAGUGAAUAGCAAACCAAUUCGAAUCACGGCUGCACAUGAAAUAAAAAUAGCAAAACAUGCUGCAUGAAAAACCAUUUACCACCCUCAUAUAACAAUAUUUUCACACAAUACUUGUAAUAAUACUAUUUUGACAUCUUCAAGAUGCAUCAUAUGAAAUGUUCACAUUACUAUAAAUUUCGUUCUAUUUUGAUUUCUUCUGUAUUUUUUUUUCUGUUAGAAUAUAUGUGACUUGAAUUUCUGCUACAAAGUAACAUAAUUAUAAACAAGUUGUGAAGUAGAUUGAAGAGAUGUACUCUGAAACUGUCAACUUUUGUGUUGAUUCAAAUGGAUAACUGCAAUUUUAAAUUGAUUGGCAUGUGUAAUUUUACCUGAAGAAGUAAAUGAUAAAGCCUAUUCAAUUAUUUUACUAUGAACAAUUUAAAGUAUAUAGAGCCAGAUGCCAGAAGAUGGUUUUCCUAUUAUCAUAUAUUUUGUCAUACUUUUUAUAUGACUGCAAAAAUUUUAAUUUUUCGUCGUAUAUUGCUAUCACGUUGGCUUUGUCGUCGUCGUCCGGCGUCGUCCUGCGUCGUCGUCGUCCGAAUACUUUAAGUUUUCGCACUCUAACUUUAGUAAAAGUAAAUAGAAAUCAAUGAAAUUUUAACACAAGGUUUAUGACCACAAAAGGAAGGUUGGGAUUGAUUUUGGGAGUUUUGGUCCCAACAUUUUAGGAAUUAGGGGCCAAAAAGGGCCCAAAUAAGCAUUUUCUUGGUUUUCACACUAUAACUUUAGUUUAAGUGAAUAGAAAUCUAUGAAAUUUUGACACAAGGUUUAUGACCACAAAAGGAAGGUUGGGAUUGAUUUUGGGAGUUUUGGUUCCAACAGUUUAGGAAUUAAGGGCCAAAAAGGGCCCAAAUAAGCAUUAUUCUUGGUUUUCGCACAAUAACUUUAGUAUAAGUAAAUAGAAAUCAAUUAAAUUUAAACACAAGGUUUAUGACCACAAAAGGAAGGUUGGGUUUGAUUUUGGGAGUUUUGGUCCCAACAGUUUAGGAAUAAGGGGCUCAAAGGGUCCAAAAUUGAAUUUUGUUUUAUUUCAUCAAAAAUUGAAUAAUUGAGGUUCUUUGAUAUGCCGAAUCUAACUGUGUAUGUAGAUUCUUAAUUUUUGGUCCCGUUUUCAAAUUGGUCUACAUUAAGGUCCAAAGGGUCCAAAAUUAAACUUAAGUUUGAUUUUAACAAAAAUUGAUUCCUUGGGGUUCUGUUAUAUUCUGAAUCUAAAAAUGUACUCAGAUUUUUGAUUAUUGGCCCAGUUUUCAUGUUGGUCCAAAUCGGGGUCCAAAAUUAAACUUUGUUUGAUUUCAUCAAAAAUUGAAUAAUUGGGGUACUUUGAUAUGCCAAAUCUAACUGUGUAUGUAGAUUCUUAAUUUUUGGUCCUGUUAUCAAAUUGGUCUACAUUAAAGUCCAAAGGGUCCAAAAUUAAACUAAGUUUGAUUUUAACAAAAAUUGAAUUCUUGGCCUUUUUUGAUAUG